rnacentral:rRNA from 1 species
UUUAACACAUGCAAGUCGAACGGAAACGAAAAUAGCUUGCUAUUUGGCGUCGAGUGGCGAACGGGUGAGUAACGCGUAGAAAUCUACCCAGUAGAGGGGGAUAGCCCGAAGAAAUUCGGAUUAAUACCGCAUAAUCUCUACGGAGUAAAGAAGGCCUCUUUACAAUGCUUUUACUAUUGGAUGAGCCUGCGUUAGAUUAGUUAGUUGGUAGGGUAAAAGCCUACCAAGGCGACGAUCUAUAGCUGGUUUUACGAGAAUGAUCAGCCACACUGGAACUGAGACACGGUCCAGACUCCUACGGGAGGCAGCAGUGAAGAAUAUUGGACAAUGGGGGAAACCCUGAUCCAGCAAUGUUGCGUGUGUGAAGAAGGUCCGAGGAUUGUAAAGCACUUUCAGUAAGCAAGAAAAGUGUAAAUCUAAUAGAUUUGCAUGUUGACCACUUAUAGAAGAAGCACCGGCUAACUCCGUGCCAGCAGCCGCGGUAAUACGGAGGGUGCGAGCGUUAAUCGGAAUUACUGGGCGUAAAGGGUAAGUAGGCGGUUUANUAAGUCACAUGUGAAAGCCCUAGGCUUAACCUANGAAGUGCA